rnacentral:rRNA from 1 species
AUACGGAGGGGGCUAGCGUUGUUCGGAAUUACAGGGCGUAAAGCGCGCGUAGGCGGUUUACCAAGUCAGGCGUGAAAGCCCCAGGCUCAACCUGGGAACUGCAUUCGAAACUGAUUGACUAGAGUAUGGUAGAGGGUGGUGGAAUUCCUAGUGUAGCGGUGAAAUGCGUAGAUAUUAGGAGGAACAUCAGUGGCGAAGGCGACCACCUGGACCAAUACUGACGCUGAGGUGCGAAAGCGUGGGGAGCAAACAGGAUUAGAAACCCUGGUAGUCC